UUGAACGCUGGCGGCAGGCCUAACACAUGCAAGUCGAGCGGUAGCACAGAGAGCUUGCUCUCGGGUGACGAGCGGCGGACGGGUGAGUAAUGUCUGGGAAACUGCCUGAUGGAGGGGGAUAACUACUGGAAACGGUAGCUAAUACCGCAUAAUGUCGCAAGACCAAAGUGGGGGACCUUCGGGCCUCAUGCCAUCAGAUGUGCCCAGAUGGGAUUAGCUAGUAGGUGGGGUAACGGCUCACCUAGGCGACGAUCCCUAGCUGGUCUGAGAGGAUGACCAGCCACACUGGAACUGAGACACGGUCCAGACUCCUACGGGAGGCAGCAGUGGGGAAUAUUGCACAAUGGGCGCAAGCCUGAUGCAGCCAUGCCGCGUGUGUGAAGAAGGCCUUCGGGUUGUAAAGCACUUUCAGCGGGGAGGAAGGCGUUAAGGUUAAUAACCUUGGCGAUUGACGUUACCCGCAGAAGAAGCACCGGCUAACUCCGUGCCAGCAGCCGCGGUAAUACGGAGGGUGCAAGUGUUAAUCGGAAUUACUGGGCGUAAAGCGCACGCAGGCGGUCUGUCAAGUCGGAUGUGAAAUCCCCGGGCUCAACCUGGGAACUGCAUUCGAAACUGGCAGGCUAGAGUCUUGUAGAGGGGGGUAGAAUUCCAGGUGUAGCGGUGAAAUGCGUAGAGAUCUGGAGGAAUACCGGUGGCGAAGGCGGCCCCCUGGACAAAGACUGACGCUCAGGUGCGAAAGCGUGGGGAGCAAACAGGAUUAGAUACCCUGGUAGUCCACGCCGUAAACGAUGUCGAUUUGGAGGUUGUGCCCUUGAGGCGUGGCUUCCGGAGCUAACGCGUUAAAUCGACCGCCUGGGGAGUACGGCCGCAAGGUUAAAACUCAAAUGAAUUGACGGGGGCCCGCACAAGCGGUGGAGCAUGUGGUUUAAUUCGAUGCAACGCGAAGAACCUUACCUGGUCUUGACAUCCACAGAACUUUCCAGAGAUGGAUUGGUGCCUUCGGGAACUGUGAGACAGGUGCUGCAUGGCUGUCGUCAGCUCGUGUUGUGAAAUGUUGGGUUAAGUCCCGCAACGAGCGCAACCCUUAUCCUUUGUUGCCAGCGGUUCGGCCGGGAACUCAAAGGAGACUGCCAGUGAUAAACUGGAGGAAGGUGGGGAUGACGUCAAGUCAUCAUGGCCCUUACGACCAGGGCUACACACGUGCUACAAUGGCAUAUACAAAGAGAAGCGACCUCGCGAGAGCAAGCGGACCUCAUAAAGUAUGUCGUAGUCCGGAUUGGAGUCUGCAACUCGACUCCAUGAAGUCGGAAUCGCUAGUAAUCGUAGAUCAGAAUGCUACGGUGAAUACGUUCCCGGGCCUUGUACACACCGCCCGUCACACCAUGGGAGUGGGUUGCAAAAGAAGUAGGUAGCUUAACCUUCGGGAGGGCGCUUACCACUUUGUGAUUCAUGACUGGGGUG
rnacentral:rRNA from 1 species